rnacentral:tRNA from 4 species
GUUUGAUUAGCUCAGUGGUAGAGCAGCCGAAGAGGUCGGACGUAGGUUCGAGUCCUACAUCAAACA